rnacentral:piRNA from 1 species
UGCCCAGGGUUCCUCAGCUUUCUCUUGU